rnacentral:siRNA from 1 species
UGGAAUGGGUGACUCGCCAUGCCU